rnacentral:rRNA from 1 species
GACGAACGCUGGCGGCGUGCUUAACACAUGCAAGUCGAACGAAGAGCGAUGGAAGCUUGCUUCUAUCAAUCUUAGUGGCGAACGGGUGAGUAACGCGUAAUCAACCUGCCCUUCAGAGGGGGACAACAGUUGGAAACGACUGCUAAUACCGCAUACGAUCUAAUCUCGGCAUCGAGGAUGGAUGAAAGGUGGCCUCUAUUUAUAAGCUAUCACUGAAGGAGGGGAUUGCGUCUGAUUAGCUAGUUGGAGGGGUAACGGCCCACCAAGGCGAUGAUCAGUAGCCGGUCUGAGAGGAUGAACGGCCACAUUGGGACUGAGACACGGCCCAGACUCCUACGGGAGGCAGCAGUGGGGAAUCUUCCGCAAUGGACGAAAGUCUGACGGAGCAACGCCGCGUGAGUGAUGACGGCCUUCGGGUUGUAAAGCUCUGUUAAUCGGGACGAAAGGCCUUCUUGCGAACAGUUAGAA